UCGAACGCUGGCGGCGUGCUUAACACCUGCAAGUCGAACGGAAAGGCCCUGCUUUUGUGGGGUGCUCGAGUGGCGAACGGGUGAGUAACACGUGAGUAACCUGCCCUUGACUUUGGGAUAACUUCAGGAAACUGGGGCUAAUACCGGAUAGGAGCUCCUGCUGCAUGGUGGGGGUUGGAAAGUUUCGGCGGUUGGGGAUGGACUCGCGGCUUAUCAGCUUGUUGGUGGGGUAGUGGCUUACCAAGGCUUUGACGGGUAGCCGGCCUGAGAGGGUGACCGGCCACAUUGGGACUGAGAUACGGCCCAGACUCCUACGGGAGGCAGCAGUGGGGAAUAUUGCACAAUGGGCGGAAGCCUGAUGCAGCAACGCCGCGUGCGGGAUGACGGCCUUCGGGUUGUAAACCGCUUUCGCCUGUGACGAAGCGUGAGUGACGGUAAUGGGUAAAGAAGCACCGGCUAACUACGUG
rnacentral:rRNA from 1 species